UACGUAGGCAGCGAGCGUUGUUCGGAGUUACUGGGCGUAAAGGGCGCGCAGGCGGUCUGGCAAGUUUGGAGUGACAGUGUUCGGCUUAACUGAGCAAGGCCUUCGAAAACUGCUAGACUUGAGCACUCAAGAGGGACAUAGAAUUCCGGGUGGAGUGGUGAAAUGCGUAGAUAUCCGGAGGAAUACCAAAGGCGAAGGCAGUGUCCUGGGGAGUGUCUGACGCUCAGGCGCGAAAGCUAGGGGAGCGAACAGG
rnacentral:rRNA from 1 species